GGAGACUGGAACUCCUGGUGUAGCGGUGGAAUGCGCAGAUAUCAGGAAGAACACCGAUGGCGAAGGCAGGUCUCUGGGCUGUAACUGACGCUGAGAAGCGAAAGCAUGGGGAGCGAACAGGAUUAGAUACCCUGGUAGUCCAUGCCGUAAACGUUGGGCACUAGGUGUGGGGGACAUUCCACGUUUUCCGCGCCGUAGCUAACGCAUUAAGUGCCCCGCCUGGGGAGUACGGCCGCAAGGCUAAAACUCAAAGAAAUUGACGGGGGCCCGCACAAGCGGCGGAGCAUGCGGAUUAAUUCGAUGCAACGCGAAGAACCUUACCAAGGCUUGACAUAUACUGGACCGCAUCAGAGAUGGUGUUUCCCUUCGGGGCUGGUAUACAGGUGGUGCAUGGUUGUCGUCAGCUCGUGUCGUGAGAUGUUGGGUUAAGUCCCGCAACGAGCGCAACCCUCGUUCUAUGUUGCCAGCACGUUAUGGUGGGGACUCAUAGGAGACUGCCGGGGUCAACUCGGAGGAAGGUGGGGAUGACGUCAAAUCAUCAUGCCCCUUAUGUCUUGGGCUUCACGCAUGCUACAAUGGCCGGUACAGAGGGUUGCGAUACUGUGAGGUGGAGCUAAUCCCUAAAAGCCGGUCUCAGUUCGGAUUGGGGUCUGCAACUCGACCCCAUGAAGUCGGAGUCGCUAGUAAUCGCAGAUCAGCAACGCUGCGGUGAAUACGUUCCCGGGCCUUGUACACACCGCCCGUCAAGUCACGAAAGUUGGUAACACCCAAAGCCGGUGGCCUAACCUUUUGGAGGGAGCCGUCUAAGGUGGGAUUGGCGAUUGGGACUAAGUCGUAACAAGGUAGCCGUACCGGAA
rnacentral:rRNA from 1 species